GCUAGAAACUGUCAUCGGCCUUAGGAGAUCGUUCGUGAUGGUGUGAUUUUGUCGAUUUUGUAGAUAAUUAUGACGAUAAAAUGGAUUUAAAUUAGGUUUUCCUGCAUUAUUUGACCAAAACAGGAUAGAAAAAUCUCUAUGAACAGGUUAUGGCCGGACGAUGACCCUUCCCAGCCCUAGAAGUUCCAGUUUUCCGGAAAGGCGGCGAAAGACGAACAACCAUCCCAGGAAUCAGGAGGACUGUUGGAGCAAAGCAAGCAGAGCCGAAUCCCAAUAGUGAUAGCGCCGGAUCACAACUGCUCUUGCGGGAACUCGUUUAUUCUGGAUGGGCAU